UAAGGAAUAUUGGGCAAUGGACGCAAGUCUGACCCAGCCAUCCCGCGUGCAGGACGAAUGCCCUAUGGGUUGUAAACUGCUUUUGUUUGGGAAGAAAUGUAUUCUUUUAAGAGUAUUUGACGGGACCAGACGAAUAAGCACCGGCUAACUCCGUGCCAGCAGCCGCGGUAAUACGGAGGGGGCAAGCGUUAUCGGGAAUCACUGGGUUUAAAGGGUGCGUAGGGGGCCAGAUAAGUCCGAGGUGAAAGU
rnacentral:rRNA from 1 species